AGCGUAGGUGGCAAGGUAAGUCAGAUGUGAAAACCCGGGGCUCAACCCCGGGAUUGCAUUUGAAACUAUCCAGCUAGAGUGCAGGAGAGGUAAGUGGAAUUCCUAGUGUAGCGGUGAAAUGCAUAGAUAUUAGGAGGAACACCAGUGGCGAAGGCGGCUUACUGGACUGUAACUGACACUGAGGCUCGAAAGCGUGGGGAGCAAACA
rnacentral:rRNA from 1 species